rnacentral:lncRNA from 1 species
UUGCAUUUCCCUGCCAGGGAGCCUGCUCCAGGCCUUAUGAGAAGAAAGUCGGUCCACAGAGUGGAGAAGGUGCUGCUCAUGGUGACGGUGCCUCUAUAAACAGCCCCACCACUGGAGAAGCCUUAGCUUACUGAGCUAAUUCCUGCUACUGCAGCUGCCUGGGCUGGCGCGGGGCACCACCAACCACCAAGCGCCCCCGCCCGGGGGCUGCUGAGAAAGGCCCUGCUCCCUGGAGGCAACAGGUGCUGAGAGACCUGGAACGAAAAACGGUCACAGACAACCCACCAGCCUUUCAAAGUCAACGUGGCAGCUCCAGCUUCCCACCCCCAGAGCAUCGAGGCACUGGAGCUCAGCCAAAGAACAGCAGCCUCUCACCGCUCAGGACACAAAGCCCACUCAGCGAGGGUUUGUCUGCAGGGCCACCACCGAGGCCAGGGGAUCGCUAGAGCCCCCAGGAGAGAACGGCCGCGGAGCAAGGGGGAGGCAGAAGAGCGGGUGGGGUAACCCCCUGGAUCCGCAGAAGCGGGGAGACACACGACUACGCAGGCCGCUGAGGGGUAACUGGAAUUCAGCUUGUAAACCAGAAGGCACCAGAUUAGGAGAAGGGGCGACUUGGAAAGAAAUGCUGCAGAAGUAAACGUGGAAAGGGAGAGGCGGCCCUGCCGCCGGCCCGUCCUAGGGGUCCCCAAGGCUCCGGCAUUACCCGGGUCGGCGGAUGUUAAACUCUGCGUCCUAAGAGCGCUUCCCUUCCCUCCCUUUUUCGAGAGACAGAGAACGAAUCUGUAA